rnacentral:lncRNA from 1 species
UUUUUUUCUUCAUAGCAGGUGUGUUACCAGAAAGGGGUCCCAAUCUAGACCCUAAGAGAGGGUUUUGGAUCUUGCACAAGAAAAGAAUUCAGGACAAAUCUACCGAGUAAAGUGAAAGCAAGUUUAUUAAGAAAGUAAAGGAAUAAAAGAAAGCCUACUCCAUAGACAGAGCAUGGUGUUCCCAGAAGGAAGAGAAGGAACACAUCCACCUUAAACAGAGCAUGGUGUUCCCAGAAGGAAGAGAAGGAACACAUCCACCUUAAACAGAGCAUGGUGUUCCCAGAAGGAAGAGAAGGAACACAUCCACCUUAGACAGAGCAUGGUGUUCCCAGAAGGAAAAGAAGGAACACAUCCACCUUAGACAGAGCAUGGUGUUCCCAGAAGGAAAAGAAGGAACACAUCCACCUUAGCCCAGCAGCUCUCAGCCUCAUCUGACCCAGCCCCUAUUCAAGAUGGAGACGCCCUGGUUCAGACGCCUCUGACAGAUGCUCCAAGAUGAUGUGAAGCAUCAACAUGUUCACCUCUGCUCUGGUUACAAGAGGGAUGCAGUGUUCCAGGUGUCACAUGGAGAUAGCCGGGCAUCUCAUGAAGACAGGGGCAUUUUUGUCCUUUGAUACUUUCUAUGAAUAAGGAAAAAAUUAUCUGAUAUCUCCCUUAAAACCUUUCUGGCAGGAUUGGGCCCCAUAGUGUGCCUUGCUGGAGGAGAGGCUGGAAGGGACAGUACCCGCCAUCUUUGUUCUCUCAGGUUGGAGACAGGCCCUGCUGGAGAAUGGGGAGGCACGAGGAAUAAAGAGGGUCUACUUCAGAGCAGCAGAAAAAAUGUUUCUUUCUGGAAAUAUACUGAAGAACAAAAUGUGAUAUGAAGACAUAUGGAAUAUAAAAACAAAGGGUGGACAGGCUGUGUAAAAAUGGAAUCUGUCACUCAUGUCUCCUAUUUGAUAAAUUGGAGUAUAUAUAAAUUUACUCAAUUUAAAUGCAAAUAUUUGAUUUUAGAAAGUCUCAUACUCUAUAUAUUAUAGGGCAGAAAAUUUUCAUAUCAUCGCACACUCUAUUAAAGAGGAUUUCAAACUAUUUUAAAACUGUUCAGCAGCCUUGUAAUAAAGUUAUCCUCUGAACCUCUUCACACACUUAUCAACCUUGACUUAUAUUACUCCAAAUAUUUCAGCCUGUUUCUUGAGGAUGCUUUACCUUGGGGUCUCUAAGUGUAAAGAUUUCCAGUUGUUUCCAGCACAUUCUGUCACCUUUGUUCAACUCUCCAACUUUACUUCAUUAAUGUAUAUGGAUAAUGUUCAGUUCCAUCACAUCUUAUGAAGAACUAAUGAAGCUCUUCCAGACUUAAUUUUAGGAUUCAGUGGCUGUCUGGAUUCCCUUGUAUCAGCAUUCACUUUCGUCAUCACUUGCCUUGGUAAUUUCUCCUUCUCACAACAGCAAAUUUCACGACUAACGAUGGCCCGAAGGCUCCUUCCCUCCACGGGAUUCUGCUCCAGCCACAGCAGAGACUAUUUUGCACACCUUCCAGACAUUGCUGCCCCAUUCCAGGUACCUCAAGUGUCUCAAUAUCAAGUUGCAAUAGAAGCUUGCUGUUAGUGGAUCUGCACUUUAAAAUGGUACUUAAUAUGAAUACAUAAUCAGAAGGGAUUUUUUUACUUGUUUUGUGAAAAUGAACUGCAAGUCAACUAAGAUAUUUAAAACAAGGAAAAAGAAAGUCUUCUUCUACAGUGCCUCCAGGCAGAUACAAGUGCCCUUCUUGUCUCAUGGACUCAAUCAGGAGAUAUGAAGAUUGACAACUGAUUGGCAAAAGUGAAGUCACUGUGUGACCUGUCCUGAAAAGAUGGUGGCUGCAUCUAGAAACAGUGACGUGUUUGGGGAACAAUGGAGUAGAGUCAGAGACGCACCUACUAAGACAUUUUGGCUGCUGGGCACCUGAACAUGAGCAAUGUGAAGCUUCCGGUGCGUGUUUCCAUAGAGAGUUUUCUGAUAAUGUGUCAGUUAUUUUUAGCCACAAAACACUAUAAGACAACUGAGCAUGCUUUUCAGUGGCUAACAACUAUAAGCAUUAAUUUUGCUCAUGCACUAAGGGAUGACUGAGCCCUUCUGCUGGCCUGGGCCACGCCUAACUGAUUGCAGCUGGGCUAGCUCUUGCAUCAGCUGGUGGAUUGGCCUGGGGCAGGCUGGCCUGGGGUAGCUUUGGUUGGGAUGAUUUUUUUCUGCUCUGUGGUCUUUCAUCUUGUGAUAGGCUAGUCUCGGCUUUUCCUACAGUGGAGGCAGGGGUCUGAGGGAAGAAGUGGAAACACUUGAGGCCUGGGAGGCCUACUCUGAUAAUAAGCCAAGUCACCUCUGCUGCAUUCUAUUGGUUAGAGCAAGCCACAGCUCAGCCCAGACACAAGAGUUGGGCAACACCCUCUACUUCUUGAUGAGAGGAGCUAACAUGUAACUUUGCAAAUGGAAUAAAUAUAGAAAAAGGUGAAAAUUCAGGGCCAUUUUUGCAAUCAGUCCAUUACAGAUGGUUUAUUAUUGAGAAACAUCUAUACAUCCAUAUCCAUAUAAAAUUACAUAUCUGUAUCUAUUUUUGAUGUUAUAGUUGACCCCUGAUCCAGAGAAGAAAGGGAUAGAGUGUAAUAAUCUCUGCUUUCUGGUGGAUCUCCUGUUGUUGAGUAAAAGGGAAUAUGAUCAGGAAAUCACAAAUAUCAAAAGAAUGGAAUGGAUAACUGACAAAUGAUUUAUAUUCCAUAUGCGUAUGUCACAUUUAAUAAAACAAAAUUAUGGCUGAGCACAGUGGCUCACACCUAUAAUCUUAGCACUUUGGAGGCCGAGGAGGGCGGAUCACAAGGUCAAGUUUAAGACCAGCCUGAACGACAUGGUGAAACCCCGUCUCUACUAAAAAUACAAAAAUUAGCUGGGCAUGGUGGUGCAUACCUGUAAUCCUAGCUAUUCAGGAGGCUGAGGCAGGAGAAUCGCUUGAACCCAGGAGGCAGAGGUUGCAGUGAGCUAAGAUCGUGCCACUGCACUCCAGCCUGGGUGACAGAGUGAGACUCCAUCUCAAACAAACAAACAAACAAACACCCCACAAAACUACAUAAUAGGAAAAUGUACUUGAUAAUAUUAAACUUUUAAGCAGUCCUUUAGAAAUGGCUGAGAAAAGUGAUUAGGAAAAGGGUGAAAACCUCCAACACUUAGGGAAAAUCCUGUAGCUAUCAGCGGCAGAAAGCAAUCCUUAAUUUUCCGUAUGUCCCAGAGGGAAUGAGAAAGUCAACUGGACUGAGGCUGU